rnacentral:sRNA from 1 species
AUUCUGCCCAUGCGGGGAAGGAUGAGAAGCUUCGACUAAGGUUCGGCUCGAGCGUCAGCGAGAGAGCGUUGCCGCAGGCAACGACCCGAAGGGCGAAGCGCGCAGCGCUGAGUAAUCCUUCCCCUACCACCA